UUCCGCUGCCCUUUCCGCCUCCUGCUCUCCGAAUGCCUGUAUCUGUGCCUCCCUGAGCUCGGGCCCGCGCUCCUUCGGACCUCCGGCUAUGAGGCUGUCGGGUUACGAGGCUUUCCUUCCCGUCACAGCACCUGCCAAUUAACUUGUGGCGAGACCCGGGCCGCCAUCUUAACGAGAGACCUUUUCUGCUCUUCCGCCGUACGACCUCUGUCAUUGGCUAGAGCGGCCUCGCUUUGCUGACAAUGUACUCUGCUCUCCACAAAAGCAAGGAUUUCUUUCUGUUUUAUCUUCAGCACCUAAAACAGUGCCUGAUAUUUGGAAUGAACAAACAACCCCUAAUCAAGUGAUUUUGUAACCAGGGCAGGAAGACAGACCUUGGAAGUGUAAAUAAAGCUAUGUGGACAAAGAAUGCUGAAGUCCCAAACCAACAUAGUCACCUAAAUAACCCUUUUUUUUUUUUAAACUAAAAGUUGCUUUAUUUGCUUCAAAAGUUUUUUUAUUAAGGUAAAACCGAUAUACUCUCUUAUGGUUUCACAUGAAAAACAUUGUGUAAAUAACCCAGGACAAAACUCCAAAGGAAUUAUAAAUCACCUGUCGUAUGCUGACAUUUACCCAAAACAAGUCCUAUAAAACUCCAGACCCCAAACCCUUAAGUAUGCCUCCUCCUCUCUGAGGUUGCCCACAUUUGUCUUCCUUAGAGUGUGUCACCCUUUGUCCUACCUCAGAUACUUAGGGAGGGGCUGCUGAGAGCUCUGGAUAGAACUGCAGCUGUACAAUCAUGGUCCUUAGUAGCUUGCCUGAAAAUCUUUUUUUUGCCUUUGGGAAUUUCUCAGAACAUAAUCUCACUCUAUCCAGUGCUCUGUGGCUCCCCCAAACCCUGGGGUGGUAGGGUCUUAGAUCCCAAGCCAUGCAGAUCCAAGUGGACACUGACACCAGGUGACCCUGGCUUUAGGAGUUGGUAAGGUAUUAUGCCCUUAUGCUGAGCAACUGUUCAGUGAGCUUCCCUUUUCCUUCCUCUCUGCUUUAUUCAAGUAAACCUGUCUUUAUCUACCUUGACUCAGGCCCUCUCCUCCUUUGGAGUGUAUUUGAAUAAAACUUUUACUCUGCUUCA